CAGCCGCCACGGUAAUACGUAGGUGGCAAGCGUUGUCCGGAAUUAUUGGGCGUAAAGGGCUCGCAGGCGGUUUCUUAAGUCUGAUGUGAAAGCCCCCGGCUCAACCGGGGAGGGUCAUUGGAAACUGGGAAACUUGAGUGCAGAAGAGGAGAGUGGAAUUCCACGUGUAGCGGUGAAAUGCGUAGAGAUGUGGAGGAACACCAGUGGCGAAGGCGGCUCUCUGGUCUGUAACUGACGCUGAGGCUCGAAAGCGUGGGGAGCGGACAGGAUUAGAUACCCGAGUAGUCCCUGUCUCUUAUAC
rnacentral:rRNA from 1 species